GUCUAUGUCCAUACCACCCUGAGUAUGCCCGGUCUCAUCUGAUCUCGGACGGAAGCUAAGCAGAGUCGGGCCUGGUUAGUACUUUGAUGGGACAUGUAGGAUACACGUAUUGAAUACA
rnacentral:rRNA from 1 species